UGGGGAAUAUUGGACAAUGGGGGGAACCCUGAUCCAGCCAUGCCGCGUGUGUGAAGAAGGCCUUAUGGUUGUAAAGCACUUUAAGCGAGGAGGAGGGUACUGGUAUUAAUACUACCAGGUACUGGACGUUACUCGCAGAAUAAGCUCCGGCUAACUCUGUGCCAGCAGCCGCGGUAAUACAGAGGGUGCGAGCGUUAAUCGGAUUUACUGGGCGUAAAGCGUGCGUAGGCGGCUAAUUGAGUCGGAUGUGAAAUCCCCGAGCUUAACUUGGGAAUUGCAUUCGAUACUGGUUAGCUAGAGUGUGGGAGAGGAUGGUAGAAUUCCAGGUGUAGCGGUGAAAUGCGUAGAGAUCUGGAGGAAUACCGAUGGCGAAGGCAGCCAUCUGGCCUAACACUGACGCUGAGGUACGAAAGCAUGGGGAGCAAACAGG
rnacentral:rRNA from 1 species